GCUGUAACACGAUAGAUAGCGUGUUGGACUCCUAAUCCAAAGGUCGUGGGCUCGAAUCCCACCUGGAGUG